UACAGAGGUCUCAAGCGUUGUUCGGAUUCAUUGGGCGUAAAGGGUGCGUAGGCGGCUUGUCGCGUCGACUGUGAAAUCCCGGGGCUUAACUUCGGGCGUGCAGUCGAUACGGGCUGGCUUGAGUGCGGUAGGGGAGACUGGAAUUCCCGGUGUAGGGGUGAAAUCCGUAGAUACCGGGAGGAAUACCAGUAGCGAAGGCGGCCUUCUGGACAGUGACUGACGCUCAGACGCGAAAGCGUGGGGAGCAAACAGG
rnacentral:rRNA from 1 species